GACGAACGCUGGCGGCGUGCUUAAUACAUGCAAGUCGAACGGAAAGGCCCUGCUUUUGUGGGGUGCUUGAGUGGCGAACGGGUGAGUAACACGUGAGUAACCUGCCUUUGACUUUGGGAUAACUUUAGGAAACUGGGGCUAAUACCGGAUAGGAGUUCCUGUUGCAUGGUGGGGGUUGGAAAGUUUCGGCGGCUGGGGUUGGACUCGCGGCUUAUCAGCUUGUUGGUGGGGUAGUGGCUUACCAAGGCCUUGACGGGUAGCCGGCCUGAGAGGGUGACCGGCCACAUUGGGACUGAGGUGCGGCCCGGACGCCUACGGGGGGCAGCAGUGGAGGAUAUUGCACGAUGGGCGGAGUCCUGAUGCAGCAACGCCGCGUGCGAAAUGACGGCCGUCGGAGUAGAAACCGCUUGCGCCUGUGACGAAGCGUGAGUGACGGUAAUGGAUAAAGAAGCACCGGCUAACUACGUG
rnacentral:rRNA from 1 species